GCUGGAAUAGCUCAGUUGGUUAGAGUGUGUGGCUGUUAACCACAACAACAAGGUCGGAGGUUCAAGCCCUCCUUCUAGCG
rfam:Ipomoea nil DNA, scaffold: scaffold3017, cultivar: Tokyo-kokei standard.